CAUGUUGUUUGUUAAAUUUUCUAACCAAGAGAUUUCUAGAGUCGUACAUGUGAGAAUUAAACUGGAUGGCAAGGAAAUAUAGGAGAGAAAUUAUAGUGAUAAUGGAGUUAAUUAUGCUCAUUCUUAUUAAGGUGCAAGCUAGUGAUCUUGUCAUGAUUUCCUCUUCCGGUCCUCUUCAAGCCCCCUUUCCUCCUUCUGAUCACCUUGAUGAUUAUAAUGGUCAUAGCCCAUUAAAUAUUUGCCUUGACACCAAACUUGAAAGUUGUGAAGAAAGGAAAAAAAAAAUUGCUACUUGCUGAAUUCCACCGUUGCAUUCAUAUUGCAUUCAUCAAUUGUUUCAGCAAAGCUAUCCCUGAAGACCCAACGUAUAAACUUGUUAAAGAGUGUUAUGCGUUUUGCAGUGUUUUGGAGGAGAUGAUUUAUUACCAUUUAUAUACAACUUGUUUGAAAAUAUGUCAUAAUCAUUUGAUCAGAAAGAAUCAUCCAUGAUCUCAAAUUCAGAAUGAGCUAGAAGGAUCUUGGACUUGAUGCGGAUCAUAGCAACUUUUACUGCUCAUUUUGUUUAUGUCUGUCUUGAAAAUAAGUGCAUGUACUGGCGGUAUUGUUUAGCAAAGAAAUAGGUUUGAUAUAAUACUCGAAGGCGGUGCAAUGCAAAUAGUCAAAGCAAUUUUCACGGAUCUUUUUACUUGGAGCAUGUUUGGUCAUUUCAUCGAGGGAAUCAAAGAAGUAGUGAUGUCAUUCCGGUCGUUUAGAGUGGUACAUACGAGGAGGGAAGCUAAUUCAACGACACACAUUCUAGUUAAAACAGCUUCUACUCAAGUCAGAGACUUUAUUUGAUUGGAAGAAGUCUCAUACUUCCUAUCUAAUGUUGUUCAUAGGGAAUUUGUUGUUCCUACGGUCCUACCUUUUAACCCUCUAGGGGUUUUUCUGAUUAUUAAUAAGAAGUGGCUUUUCGGUUUAAAAAAAAAAAAGGAAAAAAAAAAGUGCAUGUACUUAUUAUUAUGAAAGUAAACUGCUUAAUUAGCAGCA